rnacentral:tRNA from 1 species
AGGAUAAUAGUUAAUAAUAACAUUUAAUUUGCAUUUAAAAAGUACUAUAUUUAGUUUAUCUAA